UUUUGGAAGAAGCACCAGGUAGCUCCUGUCUAUGACAAAGGGGGUUGUUCAUAGCUCAAAUAGUAUGGAAGGGGAAUUUUCUUAAAUUACAUACAAGAAAAUGAGAAGGAAAAGUUCCAUGUGGCCAAAGGAAUGUGACUCUGUGGGGAGGUGAGAGGACAUUGAAAGGCUUGCUUACUAAUUUUCCAGAUGUGCAUUGCAUUUUCUCAUUCAUCUGUGUUUUCACCUACAGGAUCUCAUUUGAUUCUCAAAGCAACCCUGUGAGGUCAGCCAGGCAGGUGUUUUGAUUCCAUUAUAUGAAUGAGAAAACCGAAAGUUUUUAAUAUUAUGUUAUAUUAUAUUAUAUUCUUAUAUUUCUUAUGUCAAUUUCUUAACUCCAAGCCUGAUGACUUUCCCUUUGGAAAUAAGACAUCGUUGUGAGCACUUACUACAUCCUAGGUGUUCUGCCUUCCCUUAAGCUAUUGUGUCCAAGCCUCACAUCAUCUAAGUCAACUGAAUGAGGGAAGUGCUCUUAUUAUUCCCAUUUGACAGGUGAGAAGACAGACUCAGAAACACUGGGAGGAAGAUUUCCCACAAACUGAUAUAAAAUCUGAAUUUCACAACAUUAUAAUAUCUUAAGGCUACUUGAUUUCCAGAGGUGAUCAAAUUUCACCUGUCUUGAGCCAAAAAUGCUCAUAGGGAUUCAAGAAGAUUCACCACCUCCCCUGGCUACUCCACAAGGCCCCUCACAGAUUCUAAAUUUUAAUUUCAGGAACCUCUAUCUUUGAUAGAGACACAACUAUUAAAACCUGGAAAAUCCCCCCAAAAUUAGUCUUUAACAAGGGACUCCAGAUUGACCCAAACCACAUUCUUCCCAGGUCUACUCAGCAACUCAGGGACACUGUGCACAUUUUGCACUAACAAGAAUUCCAUAACUCUAAAUUAAGUUUAAGGUAAGACAAAGCAUGGAUCGAUUGCUUUCCAAGUGGGAUGCUCUCUCCUGGCAUCCAGUGAUCUCUGCAAGAGGCCCCUGCUUGUGCUUCAACAAUGGCAGGAGUGCCAAAUUCCAGGUGUAUUUCCUGGGACUCAAGCCACAUAUCCAAGGAUUCUCAAACCUGUGAGUGGAUUGAGAGCAAACCUCAGGUGGCACAUAUUCCAUUUCCCUUCAGAGAAGUCUAAGUGCUCCUGUCUGAAACCAGGCAGUUCCUUCUGAGCACCUCUUUCAAAUAAAUCCCUGGUCCCAGUGAACAUUAGCCCAGGGUGAAUCAUUGUCAAGUACCCCAGCCAGGAGAGCACUUUCUAUCUUGGAAAGGGAAUAAAAAAAAAAAUCUCAAAGAUAAUAAGAGCUGCCUAAGAAGAUGUUUGUUCAUUUAGUCCUGCCAGUCAUGAGCUUCAUUUGUCAGGGUUUUCAAUUAGAUCCCAUCACACACAGUCCCCUCUCCAGUCAGCCCCAGACAACUUUUGUUUGCAUUACACGGAUGAAUAAGGAUGGACCUUUGCAGGCUUUCUUACCCUCUCUGCCUCCUGCCCUGCCUUUUUCCAGCAUGCUGGAAUCCUUCUCCCUUACCUGACCAUAAAACCUAAUUGCUCUUUGUCAAACAUCUACCUUGCUUUUCUUUCUUUCUUUUUUAAACAGAGACAGGGUCUCGCUGUGUUGGCCAGGCUGAUCUUGAACUACUGGCCUCAAGCAAUAUUCCUGCCUCACCCUCUCAAAGUGUGGGCAUUACAGGUGUGAGCCUCCAUGCCCGGCCUAUGUUGCUUUUCCAUGUGACUUUUUUUAUAGUGCUGAAAAGAAUUUCAAUGUCCAAAAUAAAACCCCAAUUUUUGGAAUGCUAUUAACAGGGAUGUGACACUGUCAACACUCUUGCUGGUAAUAACACUGCAAUCCCCCUUUUAAGUUUUGCUAUUUAUGACUGACGCAGAAAAGAUGCAGUUUCAGUGUGGAUUCCAGUGUGGUUCUGUGUGCCAAACUCAUUGGCUGUCCCCUGAAAUGCCCACAGUUGAGAGAGCCAAUGUGCUGUGUGCCGAAGAUUGCAGCAGCUGGGGAAUUUGCUCUUGAAAAACUUCGCUGAAGAAUUUAGUACAACGGUGAAGCAAUGUUUUGGUUUUGUCACUGUUCAAAAUUUGGCAGGACUUAGAGGCUGGAAUGUGAAGUUAUGGAGAUAUCAUGUAAGAUAAAUUUCCAACCAUGAUAUCUUUUUUUUUUUUUUUUUUUGAGAUGGAGUCUCGCUCUGUCACCCAGGCUGAAGUGAAGUGGUGUGAUCUCGGCUCACUGCAAACUCCGCUUCCUGGGUUCAAGCAAUUCUCCUGCCUCAGCCUCCCAAGUAGCUGGGAUUCUGCCACCAUGCCGAGCUAAUUUUUGUAUUUUCAGUAAAGACAGGGUUUCACCAUGUGGCCAGGCUGGUCUCGAACUCCUGACGUCAGGUGAUCCACCCACCUUGGCCUCCCAAAGUGCUGGGAUUAUAAGCAUGAGCCACUGUGCCUGGCCCAUGAUACCCAUUUCUUGACCAUCAGCUGAACAAUCCACUUUUGAUAAUGCCAAAUCCACAAGCCCUACAUGUCACUUUCACUAUGAUAUCCCUUACAACCUGCAAUUCAGAAAAAAAAGUACUGACCUUCAACUUAGUUUCACAUGGGGUCUGGGUUUUCUUCCCAUUCUACCUGCUGAUCAUUUAUAGGAAAGUGGGUAAAUCACUUGACCACAUUUCAGUGACCCAUACGGCUGGAGCAGGACAAAAUGAAGGACGGCAAGGUUAGAGGGGCAAGAAACAUGAUGUACAUGUAGUCAGUUUUUGAGCUCUUUAAAUAUCUUGUAAAAUAUCUGACCUUGCAGACGGUAGAGGAUCUUGCAAUUUAAUGCAAAUCUGUAAAUGCUUUUUAAAGAGAAGAAUUCUUCUUGCACCAUUAUUAAUUACCUUGAAAAUAAUGAUUCCUAAAUUUAGAGCCAAUAUAUUGAGUUUUUUUUUUCCAAGUGGGUUACCAGUAAACAUCUUUGGCUUACACCAUAUUGGGAACAGAUGGCUGGAUGUCAGACAAAAGGCCUGGACUGAGGUCAGAAGAGCUGCAUUCAAGUCCCAGCUCUGCCACUCUCAAGCCGCGCGGGCUUGAAAGCGUCUUUUUCCUUCCCUUGACCUUGUUUGCCUCAGAUGUAGGAAAGCGAGGCGAGGCUAUCCAUGCUUAUAAGGUGUACGGCUUUUAGCGGUGCUGGGUUUUGAGUGCGGACUGUAGUGGACACUCUGGAUCCCGUCACUGCCCCUAUCUGUGCACUCCACAUCUAACAGCCUGCAUCUGGGGCUCACUUCUCAGGGCUGCCCUUGGACUACCAGAGCCAUUUUGUACUCAAGCCCAAAGAACUGAAGUGUCCAGGAGUUUAUACCCUCUCUCUUCUUAGCUGAAACCUAAUUUGGGGGUGUUCAGCUCCCUUCCCCAUGUCGGGACAAACUCAGAAGUAAUUCCUCCCACAGAGCUCCACUAUAGGGUCAGGCUGAGGCUGACACCCUCACCCAGCCUCUUCUUUCCCUAUCCAGCUGUCUCACUCUUUUUUUAGUUUCUCCUGGGAAAAUUUCUUUAAUAAAUCCUUGAUCUGUUUCUGGGGAACCUGACAUAAUCACACAUUUUCAUAGGCAGAGCAAAACAAUAAUAAUAAUAGUAGAAGAGCUUUCUUCAUCUGAGGUGCUAUGUUACUGAAAAGUAAAGAGAUUUGUACCUGAAACAAAUAGACACAGACUCACAGCACCUAAGAGUCACUGAAUCUCUCUGACUGGUGGAUGAGAUGUUCUUGUCAAGAAUCUCAUCUAAUUUAAAACUCCACUUUCAAAGUGGUCCUGAAAAGACAUCUGUGUGUCUUGAGCUUGGUAAUCCCAACAAAUGGGGGUGGUCGUAAGACAUGGUGCAUUGGGGUUGAAGUCUGCAGGUUAAUCCAGGACAGAAACCGCAGAGAAGGAACAGUGCUCAAAGCCAACCUUCAAUGUUGGCUGCAUGAACAAAGGGACGUAGCCAUGAAGCAGAGUAUUACCUGGUUCCUUAACCAAAUGCCCAGGCCCAGAGAUGCGUUGAGUGUCAAAUGGCCUUUCCCUCCUUUGUAGCCUGCACUGCCCUUCCAUCUUCCUAGUUCCUUCCUUCCCUCCUGAACAAGUGUGAACAACUAUGUGUCAAACAUCAGUGAGGCCCAGUGGAUAUGAAGACCCUGUUCACAAGGGUCUAUGGUCCAGGUAGGACCAGCAAGAAUGUGCAAUGGUGUAUUAACCAUGGUGUUUUCAAUAUCUCUGCAAAUUAUAAGGAGGCUACUGGCUAUAUCUAGAAAGCUAAAAAUGUUCUCCUAGAGAAGUGGACGUUCGAGGUGAGAUUUGAAAAAUUCCGGCAGGGGACAGGAUGCAGGCAGGAAGAGUGGGGCAUUCCCUACAGAGGAUCCUAAGAGCAAAAGCCAGAAACAGGAAGCUGCAGGAGCUGCCCCGAGGGUGACUCACUGUGGCCACAGUGAGCACCUGUUGGGGAGACAAGGUAGGAAGAAAGAUAUCAGUUAAGAUCGGAGAGGGGCCAGGAGCGGUGACUUACACCUGAAACCCCAACACUCUGGGAGGCUGAGGCAGGAGGAUUGCUUGAGCCCAGGAGUUCAAGACCAGCUUGGGUAACAUAGCAAGACUCAGUCUCUACAAAAAGUAAAAAUAAAAAUAAUUAGCUGGGCGGGCAGCAUGUGCUUGUAGUUCCAGCUACUGGGGAGGCUGAGGCAGGAGGAUUGCUUGAACCCAGGAGCUCUAGGCUACAAGGAACCAUGGUCAGCCACUAUACUUCAUCUGGGGUGACAGAGCAAGACCCUGUCCCUAUUGAAAAAAAGAAGAAAAAAAAGGAAAAAAGAUUGGAAAAGGAAGCUACAGAGGAAACAACAUAAUAUCCUUCCAUGCACGGUAGACAGUGUUGGAGUUGAAUUUGAGGAAGCCCAGCUGGUAGCCACCACUUGGUGUGUGUGGGAAAAACCUGCACCUUUGGUCACAGAAGUCUUCUGUGUUGAUGAUUGUUGUUGGUGUGAAAGUAGAGGAGAAACUCAGUUUGAAAGGUUUUUUCAAAACAGGCACCCAAAAGGGAGCAAGGUGGAAGAGGUAAGUGCCAUGCCCGGAACAGAUGUCAGCACCAGGAGGCUUGAGUCUGGGUCCUAGCUCUGCUGUUGACUGGCUUGUGACACUGGGCAAGUUAGUUUCUCCGUCGGAGAUUUGGUUUAUUUGCCAGUAAAACACAACAAAAUUAGAUCCAGUGAUCCCCUGGCCCCACCCAAUUCCCUCAGGCUUUGAGAGUGAGAGAAAAAGUUAACACUCCGGGCAGGCGCAGUGGCUCAAGCCUGUAAUCCCAGUGCUUUGGGAGGCUGAGGUGAGUGGAUCAUCCGAGGUCAGGAGUUUGAGACCAGCCUGGCCAACAUGAUGAGACCCCACCUCUACUAAAAAUACAAAAAUUAGCUGGGUGUGGUGGUGCAUGCCUGUAGUCCCAGCUACUUGAGAGGUAAGGCAGGAGAAUUGGACGAACCCAGGAGGCAGAGGUUGCAGUGAGCCACAAUCGCACCACUGCACUCCAGCCUGGCGACAGAGCAAGAUUCCAUCUAAAAAAAAAAAAGUUAACACCCCAGAGUCAAUCUAGAGGCGAGGAGGGAGCCCUAGCCCAAGGUGGAAAAAGCAUUUCCCCUGAAGGGCUCCACUGGCUUCAGGUGACAUCAAAGUAAAGUCAAGAGAUUUCACCUAAACUCUCAAAGACAUGUAAGCCAGCCUGGACAAGAGUUCUGCAAAUCCCUCCCAGGAGAAAUCUAACACUGUAAAGUUGGUUUUGUGCCAGGGAGACUCUAAAUAGCAGUUUCAGUUGAGUUUCAGUUUUCUGAAAACAAGCUUGGUGGACUGCUAUUCCUCAUCAAUCCACCCAAGAUAAGUACUCACAUCUUCCUUCUUGGGCAGCUCCACUCUCUUCGCUCAUUGCUCUCCACUGGUUUCCGUGUGCACCUUCUCCAUUUCCAUGGGUGUGUGGCUGUGCCAGGGCCAUUCGGAGCCAGAGUCCAGCCCAGGCAGCAGACACCACGGCAAUAAGACACACAGACGUCAGGAUCUGUGGGAUUCAGCAAAUAGAAAACAAGGCCAGAAAAAUAGAGACAAAAAUCAAAUUGCUGGGCAUGGUGGCUCAUGCCU
rnacentral:lncRNA from 10 species